UGUCAUGGAGUUGCUCUCUUGC
rnacentral:miRNA from 1 species